rnacentral:rRNA from 1 species
GAUGAACGCUGGCGGCGUGCCUAACACAUGCAAGUCGAACGGAGUCCAGCCUUUAAGACCUUCGGGUCAAAGAGGGGAAGACUGAGUGGCGGACGGGUGAGUAACACGUGGGCAACCUGGCUCAUAGAGGGGGAUAACAGAGAGAAAUUUCUGCUAAUACCGCAUAAGCACACACUGCCGCAUGGCAGAGGGUGAAAAGAGAAUCGCUAUGAGAUGGACCCGCGUCUGAUUAGCCAGUUGGCAGGGUAAGAGCCUACCAAAGCGACGUUCAGUAGCCGAUCUGAGAGGAUGAACGGCCACAUUGGGACUGAGACACGGCCCAAACUCCUACGGGAGGCAGCAGUGGGGGAUAUUGCACAAUGGGGGGAACCCUGAUGCAGCGACGCCGCGUGAGUGAAGAAGUAUUUCGGUAUGUAAAGCUCUAUCAGCAGGGAAGAUAAUGACAGUACCUGAAGAAGAAGCCCCGGCUAACUACGUG